rnacentral:lncRNA from 1 species
AAAAACAUAAAAACAAUUUUGAACAAAAUUAAAAUCAUUAUUUAAAAUUUAAAGGGUUUAAGAGAAUUUAUAAUAUUUAGUAUUCGAGACACCAAAGGGUUACCAAAGGGGAGAUUCGGGCUGCCACCGUCACGAUUCCCCGGUGCUGCAGCCGCCCACAACAGACUUGCAUGCCCCGUCGGCGCUAAAGCCACCCGCAUGCACCAUCGGCACCAGACCUGCAGACAGAACUUCAUCGUUCUCAUCAUUACUUUGAGGUGUUACUUACGGACUGUUCGACACUUCUCUUCCAAAUACAAUUCAAGUGAACAAUAAAUCACGUGUGUGUAUGUGUGUGUGUCUGUUUGUGUGUGUGUCUGGCCUACUCACGGAUCAAGAAGUGUCCUCCACCACUCAGCUGCUCCCUCCACCAUCUCAUACGCACAAUCAUGGGGAAGGGGGGCCGCAGGUUGAGUAGAAUUAGGGAUUAGGUAACGGCGGUGUCAUGUGGUAAGUACAUAGGCAGGCAGGCAGAAGGUGAGGCAGG